rfam:Schistocephalus solidus strain NST_G2 genome assembly, scaffold: SSLN_scaffold0005373
GGUUUCAUAGCUCGGUUGGUGGGAGCAUUGGUUGUACUUAAGCCUUUCCCUUGCUGCUGUGGGUUCAAAUCCCACUGAGGCUG